GAAGCUUUGAUUGGCGACUGGCGAAAAGAGAACUUCCCAACAGUGAUCAUCAAGGAAUUAGACUUUGGCCCUGAAGCCGUCUUGGAUACAGCACGACCAGACAUACUCAGCAUCCAACACCCAAGUAAAGUUGGAUCUGUGUCAGCCAGACAACAAGGUGUGUGUGUCUGUGUCUGUGUGUGUGUGUUUGUGUGUGCGCGUGGAUGCCUGUGAGCCUCUGUGUUUUUGUAUUUGUGUGUGUUUGUGUGUUGUGAGAUGAGAACGCCGCUGGCGAGAUUAGUGGAUUAUAUAAAUUAGUUUAGCGUAUUUGUAAUGCUUGUGUUGAAAAAGAGAUAAGAUGCUGGCUGUGGUGUACAUUGUUCUUA